UACGUAGGGUGCAAGCGUUAAUCGGGAUUACUGGGCGUAAAGCGUGCGCAGGCGGUUAUGCAAGACAGAUGUGAAAUCCCCGGGCUCAACCUGGGAACUGCAUUUGUGACUGCAUGGCUAGAGUACGGUAGAGGGGGAUGGAAUUCCGUGUGUAGCAGUGAAAUGCGUAGAUAUGCGGAGGAACACCGAUGGCGAAGGCAAUCCCCUGGACCUGUACUGACGCUCAUGCACGAAAGCGUGGGGAGCAAACAGG
rnacentral:rRNA from 1 species